GCACCUCUAGCUCAGCUGGUAGAGCAACUGACUCUUAAUCAGUGGGUCCAGGGUUCGAGUCCCUGGAGGUGCACCA
rnacentral:tRNA from 1 species